AAUAUUGGGCAAUGGGCGCAAGCCUGACCCAGCAACGCCGCGUGAAGGAAGAAGGCUUUCGGGUUGUAAACUUCUUUUAAGGGGGAAGAGGAGAAGACGGUACCCCUUGAAUAAGCCACGGCUAACUACGUGCCAGCAGCCGCGGUAAUACGUAGGUGGCAAGCGUUGUCCGGAUUUACUGGGUGUAAAGGGCGUGCAGCCGGGUCUGCAAGUCAGAUGUGAAAUCCACGGGCUUAACCCGUGAACUGCAUUUGAAACUGCAGGUCUUGAGUAUCGGAGAGGUAACCGGAAUUCCUAGUGUAGCGGUGAAAUGCGUAGAUAUUAGGAAGAACACCAGUGGCGAAGGCGGGUUACUGGACGACAACUGACGGUGAGGCGCGAAAGCGUGGGGAGCAAAC
rnacentral:rRNA from 1 species